UUCAAAAUGAGAAGAUCCUGCCAUGGAAAAGACGACUGGGUGGACAUAAAGUGGAAAGGAGGGGAAAUAACUCCCACCAUGCAGCAGGACACCUUCAGCUGUGGGGUCUUUGUAAUAUGGCCAAGGAAGUUGCACAGAACUUCCCCAACAUCCCAAAUUGAUAUGGAACCUUCAAAAAACAAAUGGAGCAACUGCAGAAAUAAAUGGCUGAG